UGGUCGAUCAAAGAACAAGCAGGGGCGACAUCCCCCAUUUCCAAACCCUAACUUCAAGCAAAUCUCUAAAUUGAAGCCUCAAAUCAGCCCUAAAUCAAGUCUUGAACACGAAUUAGUGAUCCUCAUCGCAAGAGGAUUAAGAGGCAAAGAGUCCGGAUCAUCAAGCGGACAAGCCGGAGGGAAUUCACGGGGAAAAGGAGCGCUUUAAAGUUUUUCAGGUUUUCUAGCAGAAGGGUGAUGAUCAGGCAUAUGAAUCCGAACCGAACACUUUAACAAACGCUUCCGCACAUGAUCUUUUGUUUUAAAAACUAUGUAAACAAUUGUAGUUAUCGUUUGAUUAUGAUUUCGUAAGAACAAUACAUGUAUGUUGUGUCUAGUUAUGAUCUAGAAUAUUAAAAGAUUUUGUAAACUCUAAAUUUUUGGCAUCAAAUGUAAGGUUCUAUGUU